rnacentral:tRNA from 1 species
GGAAGGGUGGCCGAGAGGUAAGGCGCCGUCUUGCUAGGACGGUGAGCCCGAAAGGGUGCCGGGGUUCGAUCCCUCGUCCUUCCGCCA